AACGAACGCUGGCGGCAUGCCUAACACAUGCAAGUCGAACGAGACCUUCGGGUCUAGUGGCGCACGGGUGCGUCACGCGUGGGAAUCUGCCCUUGGGUUCGGAAUAACAGUUAGAAAUGACUGCUAACACCGGAUGAUGACGUAAGUCCAAAGAUUUAUCGCCCAAGGAUGAGCUCGCGUAGGAUUAGCUUGUUGGUGAGGUAAAAGCGCACCAAGGCGACGAUCCUUAGCUGGUCUGAGAGGAUGAUCAGCCACACUGGGACUGGGACACGGCCCAGACUCCUACGGGAGGCAGCAGUGGGGAAUAUUGGACAAUGGGCGAAAGCCUGAUCCAGCAAUGCCGCGUGAGUGAUGAAGGCCUUAGGGUUGUAAAGCUCUUUUACCCGGGAUGAUAAUGACAGUACCGGGAGAAUAAGCCCCGGCUAACUCCGUGCCAGCCGCCGCGGUAACAC
rnacentral:rRNA from 1 species